rnacentral:tRNA from 1 species
GGAGCAGCUCGUUAGCUCGCUGGGCUCAUGACCCAGAGGUCGCAGGUUCAAAUCCUGU